GGCCCAAAUUUGAAGUAAAAUCUAUUAUUACGAUCAUCUGACCAUACUAAUAAACUGUACUUCAAGUUUGCGCCC
rfam:Haemonchus contortus, ISE/inbred ISE, WGS project CAVP01000000 data, contig: Hcontortus_29786